rfam:Ornithorhynchus anatinus chromosome 2, whole genome shotgun sequence.
AGCAGCGUGGCUCAGUGGAAAGAGCCUGGGCUUCAGAGUCAGAGGUCCUGGAUUCGACUCCCGGCUCUGCCA